rnacentral:rRNA from 1 species
AGCAGCCGCGGUAAUUCCAGCUCCAAUAGCGUAUAUUAAAGUUGUUGCAGUUAAAAAGCUCGUAGUUGAAUUUCGGGAUCAAUAUGUCGGUCGUGCUUCGGUACGUACUGGCGUUAUUGGUUUCUCCCUUCUGAAGAACCGCGAUGUCAUUAAUUUGGUGUCGUGGGGAAUCAGGACUGUUACUUUGAAAAAUUAGAGUGUUUAAAGCAGGCUCGCGCUUGAAUACAUUAGCAUGGAAUAAUGAAAUAGGACGUUUGAUUCUAUUUUGUUGGUUUCUAGGAUCGACGUAAUGAUUAAUAGGGAUAGUUGGGGGCAUUAGUAUUCAAUUGUCAGAGGUGAAAUUCUUGGAUUUAUUGAAGACUAACUACUGCGAAAGCAUUUGCCAAGGAUGUUUUCAUUAAUCAAGAACGAAAGUUAGGGGAUCGAAGACGAUCAGAUACCGUCGUAGUCUUAACCAUAAACUAUGCCGACUAGGGAUCGGAUGAUGUUAAUUUUUAAUGUACUCAUUCGGCGCCUUAC